UGGGGAAUUUUGGACAAUGGGGGAAACCCUGAUCCAGCCAUCCCGCGUGUGCGAUGAAGGCCUUCGGGUUGUAAAGCACUUUUGGCAGGAAAGAAACGUCGCGGGUUAAUACCCCGCGGAACUGACGGUACCUGCAGAAUAAGCACCGGCUAACUACGUGCCAGCAGCCGCGGUAAUACGUAGGGUGCAAGCGUUAAUCGGAAUUACUGGGCGUAAAGCGUGCGCAGGCGGUUCGGAAAGAAAGAUGUGAAAUCCCAGAGCUUAACUUUGGAACUGCAUUUUUAACUACCGGGCUAGAGUGUGUCAGAGGGAGGUGGAAUUCCGCGUGUAGCAGUGAAAUGCGUAGAUAUGCGGAGGAACACCGAUGGCGAAGGCAGCCUCCUGGGAUAACACUGACGCUCAUGCACGAAAGCGUGGGGAGCAAACAGGAUUAGAUACCCUGGUAGUCCACGCCCUAAACGAUGUCAACUAGCUGUUGGGGUCUUCGGACCUUGGUAGCGCAGCUAACGCGUGAAGUUGACCGCCUGGGGAGUACGGUCGCAAGAUUAAAACUCAAAUGAAUUGACGGGG
rnacentral:rRNA from 1 species